CCUCAGGACGUCGCUUCUCGAGGUAAUCGGCGAUGGUAGCAUGUGUAUGAUAACUGCAAUAUAGAAGUUAAUUUGUUCGUAAAAUCGCAUUUUGUUGUACGGCGCAAAAUCAAGAUGUGGUGUCUCCAAUAUAUAAAGGACCUACCGGUUUGAAUUUGGUUGAGGCUGUUUGCUAGUUGACUCAUUUGCAUAAUUCACCAGACCAUGGUCUCAUCACAAUGAUAUAUUAUGAUAAUGAAUAUUCAUUGUCACACUUGAAAACUACAAAAAUCAGGAAACUGCUGAAAUGACACCACAGCAAGAGCAACUUCUAGAUAGCAUUGCAUGUGCGUUUCACCACAGCAAAUCACGCACGUUGUAACCUUCUACCGGUUGGAUAGGCCUGGGAACAUUUUAAAUAAAUAUUUUGUAGAAGGCUUUCAGCAAACCGGUGGACUCAUCCUGCUCAGCUCAAUGGCUAUAAUGUUGCUUUCUUGUUUUGUGCUCAUUAAUUCUGCUGAAUGAAAUUCUGAAGAAAAUUUAGACAUUGCACCUCUGCA